rnacentral:misc_RNA from 1 species
CGCGUACCGCGAUGCCAGCAGCGAAACAGCAGCCGCUUGCGCCGGUCGUCGAGGCCAUCGCUCGAUCGUGUCGUUCCCGUCAUGUCCGUCACCUUCUCCAACGCAAAAAGCCCGGACGGUGCCGGGGAGGCUGAUAUAGCUGCCGGAAAUGGGGCUGUCAGUAACUUCCUGUGCACGCAUGCCGUGCCUGCACGUCAUGGCGCGCGCUCUGCCGUCAUUGCGAGGAGCGAAGCGACGAAG